ensembl:lncRNA
GUGCUUAAUAAGCCUCACCAUCACGCCUGUUGGAGCCUUCAUGGCCUCUUCCUCUCUCUUGGUCCUGGGGAGGUGGGGCUGUGGGGGUGAGCAGCAGGUGUUCCCAUCUCUGGGAACAGCUCCUGGCAUGGUUUUCCACUGCUGGCCACCGGGGCUCCGAGGAGGGGGGUGCCCCGUGGACAGAGGCCUGCAGCAGCUUACCAGGAUGGAGACUCUGGUGGGCUGUGCAGAAUGCCACGGAGGUCUCUCCACCCCCAGAGCAGGAAGGUCAUUGCACACAGGGCCUCGUUGUAGAAUUCGCUAUCAGACUCCAUAGCUAUGACGGAGGGGACCACACAAAUCUCUCUGAUCAAAAAGCCUGCAGUCACUUGGAGAUGGGAGGUUAGAAGCCUAGUGAUGGAAUUUCAGUUCUGACGCUUAUAAACUAAACUAGAGCAAGUCUUGACCCAUUUGAGCCUUAGUUUCCUCAUGUGCAGAGUGGAAGUAAUGUCUGCUGUCCUGUCUCCCUCAGGGGUCUCUCCAUUGAUGGGUUUGUUUGGGUGUUAAUAAACCUAUGGUCAAAUGCCAGGCCUGAGCCGAAACCCGCUGGGCCCUGGUGCCCCCAGGAACUCAGUCUAGCUGCUCUGGUAACCACAUAAAUUCCUCUUUGUGAAAAAGCCUUGUAAAAGCCUGAAAUGCCAAACCAUUGCCAUCAUUAACAUGAACUGUCUCGCACUAAAAGUAAUUAUCUGCUGAAAACAGCAUAAUGUCUAUUAGUUUAAGCAGGUCCUGUAUGGUCCCCAGGCCUACAGCAAGGGAGACAGUGGAAAUGAACGAAGAGGACUGGUGAGAGAAAGAAGAUGGUGGGGACUCUGCUUCUUAGGGACACUUUUGCAAGUGACCCUUAGCCCCGAAGCUCUCCUUCCCUCCAAAUAACAUGAAAAUUGGAGAUCACAAGGCGCUCCUGAGGCCCCACGAGCAUAGUUAGUUCACGCCCACAUGUAAAGCCAAAAGUAACCUGGGAGGCAGACCCUGGAGAGGUUUACAAUUCUCCCACAGGCUCGGGACACUAAUUAAUGCACAAAGAGCUGAAGAUCAUCAACUUUGUGUGAGCCUCUUGUCUGCCACCUUAGUUCCCUUGGAGUGAAGAGUGGGAGGGCCACAGGACAAUGGACUGAACCUUGCUCUUUAUUCGAAACUAGCUUAUGUGCCUGAUGUGGCUUGGGAGAAACAUUAACUGGACUCAAAUAAAUUUCUGGACAUUGACACAUAGAGCUGUCGAUGUGCAAAGCACACGGCAAGCCAUCUGCAAUGUAGAACUUGCAUCUUUCAAGGUGGCAUUGUUUUGGAAUCCACUAGUUUUCUCUGUCCAGGUCUUCUUACUGCUGCUCUAUGUCUGGGACAAUGGCAGUAACAGGGGAGCUCGUCUUGCACCUCAGUUUAACUGCUCUGGAAUAUAACUGACCAUGUCUUUGAAUGGUUCCCAGGCUUAUACGUUUCGCUUAUACAAGUAUAUAUCAGUCAGGGUUGGCUGAUGCUAGUUGCUGUAAUGACCUAUCUCAAAUCUCAAUGGCUUAGCACAGAAAAGAUGUAUUUCUCACUCACCAAAAGUCCACAGUGGAGAUUCCUGGUCGGGCAGCUCUCCUGGAUAGCUCUCCUUGAGUGGGAGCUCAGGCAUUCAGGGUCCUUCCAUUGGCGGGCUCUGCCAUCUUUGAGCCUUUCAUGUUUUAUUGCUAGGUCUCUAAGUGGCAUGUAACCAUUUAACUUAUAUUUUAAAUCAAAGCAUCCCAAAUAUAUCCUCCCAACUCGGCCACAAAAAAAUCUAUACAGCAUCUUUCACACGAUGGGUUUAUAGGAAAGAAUUUAAUAUUUCUUUGUGUAGAGAAGAUCACUUUGAGAAGGAAAUGAAACAUUUGAAACUUGCCAGUAUGAAAACUUUCUACCCUUCUCCUACACAAGUGAGGCUGGAUUCUCAGUGAGCUUCUAAGCUCCUGGAAAAGGGGUAGCCUCAGAAAAGAUGCUUGGACAGCACAUUCCUCCUGAGAAGAGUCCUAAUUUAGCUCCCAUUCGCGGAGCCACUUUUCUUUGCCAGGCCCUAUACCAGGCACACAGCCUAUGUGGCAUCUACUUCUCACAACACUCUGCAAUGCAUUCAUG